rnacentral:rRNA from 1 species
CCUACGUGAGGCUGCAGUGAGGAAUAUUGGUCAAUGGGCGCGAGCCUGAACCAGCCAAGUCGCGUGAAGGAUGACUGCCCUACGGGUUGUAAACUUCUUUUAUAAAGGAAUAAAGUGAGCCACGUGUGCCUUUUUGUAUGUACUUUAUGAAUAAGGAUCGGCUAACUCCGUGCCAGCAGCCGCGGUAAUACGGAGGAUCCGAGCGUUAUCCGGAUUUAUUGGGUUUAAAGGGUGCGUAGAUGGGUUGUUAAGUCAGUUGUGAAAGUUUGCGGCUCAACCGUAAAAUUGCAAUUGAUACUGGCAGUCUUGAGUACAGUUGAGGUAGGCGGAAUUCGUGGUGUAGCGGUGAAAUGCUUAGAUAUCACGAAGAACUCCGAUUGCGAAGGCAGCUUACUAAACUGCCACUGACAUUGAUGCUCGAAAGUGUGGGUAUCAAACAGGAUUAGAUACCCCUGUAGUC